UCAUCAUCAAGGUGGGAGCAUGGCAGCAUUCAGGCAAGCAUGGUCCAGGAGGAGCUGAGAGUUCUACAUCUUUAUCUGAAGACUGCUAGGAGAAGAGUAGCUUCCAGGGAAGGAGAGAAUGAUGCUGGCCACUGCAAGAGGAGAGGGGACUGUGGUUUGCUGGUGGAGUGGUCACAUCAGAGCUUCUGCUGCAGUCUCUUUGCUUCUGGUCAAGUUCUAGCUCUGGGAUUAUUAAUCAAGCAUUAGUAACUCCGGAGUCAAGGCUCUGCAUGGUGCAGCCUCUGAGUUUGGCUCAGAACGGGCAUAUUGCCUGGAGUUUAUGACGCUCACAUUGUUUUUCAUAUCUAGAACGUUGCUUAUGAAAUGUUUAAAAUCGUUUAAUUUCCUGUAUUAGUUUUAUCUAUUAGUUGGAACCAGUGUGAUAAGAAACUUAACCACACCUAUGGCUCCCCUCAAUUCUCAGCUGCCAUCUUUCACCUCCAACACCCCUGAAGCAUGGGGAACAGAGCAAGCCCCAGAGGAUAUAAUCAGUCAGUUCUGAGAAAGAGGCUUCCCACAGAACCCAGUUGGAAGUUACUCCUAUUAUGACCAUGCCUGUGUUGGAGGUUGAUCCCAUGGCAUCUGGAGGUUGGACCCAUUGAUUCAGAAGGGACAGGUACUGGUGGUUAUUCAAAUCUGCAAGUUCUGUGCUCAUGGAUUCAAGGUUAUCCUGUGGGUGUAACGUUGCUGCCUCGAAGGAAACUCCAUAAGGUACACAGUUGUCAACACGUUAAGCCUCCCAGUGCCUUCAUCCAAAAACUGCAAUGUCCAGAGACGGCUGCUCAUCAAAAUUCAGAACUAGACUUGAUGCUAAUCUCCCUUUAUCGUGGCCAGUGAGUCAUGGGAUGAAUACGCCAGAGCCACCAGGGACACAGAGAGAGAUGAGGAGAAGCAGAAGCAGAGAUGGGGAGAGAACACAGGACGGGUACCGAGUGACGUCAUGCUCUGUGUGCACAGACCUUCCUCCAUGAACACUGAAUUUUUCAGAGAUUCCCACUAGCCUCCUUUCUGUAAAUCACUUGAUCCAGUGGCUGCAUUUUUAACUGACAAGAACCUUAAU
rnacentral:lncRNA from 1 species